AUGCUGACAUGAGUAACGAUAAGGGGGGUAAAAACCCCCCCCGCCGAAAGAUCAAGGUUUCCUGUCCAACGUUAAUCGGGACAGGGUGAGUCGGCACCUAAGGCGAGGGCGAAGGCCGUAGUCGAUGGAAAAUCGGUUAAAAUUCCGAUACCGAUUCUUACUGCGAUGGAGGGACGGAGCAGGCUAGGCUAGCACGGCGUUGGUAGUCCGUGUUUAAGCGUGUAGGUAGGGGGAUUAGGUAAAUCCGGUUCCUCGUUAAUCUGAGACGUGAUGACGAUCUCUUGGGGCGACCCUUGAGAGAAGUAGUUGAUGCCAUACUUCCAGGAAAAUCUUCUAAGCUUCAGGUAAGAAUUGACCGUACUGUAAACCGACACAGGUGAUCAGGUAGAGAAUACCAAGGCGCUUGAGAGAACUUGGGUGAAGGAACUAGGCAAAAUGGUACCGUAACUUCGGGAGAAGGUACGCUCUCUUUGGUGAUCGGACUUGCUCCGUAAGCUGAGGAGAGUCGAAGUGACCAGGUGGCUGCAACUGUUUAUUAAAAACAUAGCACUCUGCAAACUCGUGAGAGGAAGUAUAGGGUGUGACGCCUGCCCGGUGCCGGAAGGUUAAAAGG
rnacentral:rRNA from 1 species